CAAGUAUUUCAAAUCAUGGCAAGUUUGAAACGAAACACAUUCAAUUUUAGUACUAAGCAACUCAAACGUACUGCUACACAAAGACACUCUCAAAGAUGAGCUAAAUUCACGAAACUCAUCAAACAUCAAACUUUGUGGCUUAAAGGACUUUUCAUGUGUUGUUGUUUCAAAAGAUGAGACCAUUUUAUCAAAAACAAGGUUUGAAACAUGAAAUUCUUUCACAUUUUC
rnacentral:lncRNA from 1 species